rnacentral:lncRNA from 1 species
UAUUUAUAAAGGUAGUUGACUUGAUUUACUAUACAUAUAUAAAAUUUGAAAAUAAUCGAAUAGUUUGAAAGGGAGAUUUUGGUGCUGAAAUUUAUCAUUCAGAUUUGAGUAGGAGGACUGCCGAUACUUGAGCAGAUUUUAGGGUUGAUCUAAUUUUUGGUGUAUUCGAACUUUUUCAAAUUUUUUUUGCUUGUUGUCAAAUUAAUUUUUAAGAGGUGUUUAUAUUUUGAGUUAAAAUCAAUGGUUCAUUCAUUAAUUAUUGAGGUUUGAAUCUGCUUUAGGAAUUACUUGUGAUUGAUUAGGAUUUGGUUUAAGAUUUGGAUUAGGAUUUGGUUUAGGAUUUGGAUUAGAAUUUGGUUAAUAUUAGGAUUUAAUUUAGGUUAGAAUUUUAUUAGAUUUGUUUAAGAUUUAUUUAGGAUUUGGUUGGGAUUUGUUUCGGAUUUGAUUGAAGUUUGAUUAAGAUUUGAUUAGAGCUUAUUUAGGAUUUAAUUAGGAUUUGAUUAGGAUUUGAUUAAGAUUUGACUAAGAUUUUUUUAGGAUUUUAUUAGAACUUAUUUAGGGAUUGACAAGGUUUUGACCAAGUUUUGACUAAGGUUUGAUUAAAGUUUGAUUAAAGUUUGACCAAGGUUUUCACUAGGAUUUAAUUAAGGUUUUUAUUUUUAAUAUUUUAUUAAUAUAUAUAUUUUAUUAUAUA